GGAGGCUGGCGGCGGACGGGCUCCUCGCCAACCCGGCCAGGUCCGGAAGGAAGCAGCCGUAACGGGUUCUUGCCCGGGUCGCCUCGCCAGUCUCCCAC
rnacentral:SRP_RNA from 1 species